rnacentral:rRNA from 1 species
UUGAACGCUGGCGGCAUGCCUAACACAUGCAAGUCGAACGGCAGCAUGGUCUAGCUUGCUAGACUGAUGGCGAGUGGCGGACGGGUGAGUAACGCGUAGGAAUAUACCUUGAAGAGUGGGAUAACUUGGGGAAACUCAAGCUAAUACCGCAUGAGCUCUAGGGAGGAAAGCUGGGGACCUUCGGGCCUGGCGCUUUAAGAAUAGCCUGCGUCCGAUUAGCUAGUUGGUAGGGUAAGGGCCUACCAAGGCGACGAUCGGUAGCUGGUCUGAGAGGAUGGCCAGCCACACUGGGACUGAGUCACGGCCCAGACUCCUACGGGAGGCAGCAGUGGGGAAUAUUGGACAAUGGGGGCAACCCUGAUCCAGCAAUGCCGCGUGUGUGAAGAAGGCCUGAGGGUUGUAAAGCACUUUCAGUGGGGAGGAGGAUUGAUUGGUUAAGAGCUGAUUAAUUGGACGUUACCCACAGAAGAAGCACCGGCUAACUCCGUGCCAGCCGCCGCCGUAA